GGUUUGUAUUAUGGUUUUUAGAAUAUUUAAUUUUAGUAGUUUGAGUGAAGAUUGGGGGUUUCCUAUAGGGAAUUAAAGUACUGAGAAGGAAAGUUGUUUAUUUGUUUUUAAUAUUAGGUUGGUUAUUACCUUUUGUAUUAGGGGUGAUUUAUGUGUUUUAAUGUUGAUUUAUUUCUCGAUGAACAUCGGGCUAUCUUUCCUUAUGUAGUUCUCGUUGUAUAGAGUUGGUUAGGGGAUUAUAGGUAUGAAAUAUUAUUCAAGUUGUUUUUUAUCUAGUUCUUUAAGAAAUUUAAUAGAAGGUAUGUGUUAUUAUGGCGGUGAGUAGGGAUUAGCUUAUUUACUUUUUAUAUUGUUUUAUUUUUGUGGUUUGUUUGUUAAGUUAAUAGUGCUUAUUUGAAUGGAGUUAUUAUCAGGCAAGUUUUUAUGAAUUAUUUUUUGUUUUUAUUUUGGUAUUAAGGUUAUGUUGUUAAUCUUUAGUGAUUUGUAAUAAUGAUUACAUUAGUAAUAUUUUUUGUUAGAGGGCUUUUUGUUGUUUUCUAGUGCGCUAAGGGGAUAGGAGGAAUAUUGAAAUUAGAAUUGAUGAAUUCGGCAAAGAUGGACUUCUGACUGUUUAGCAAAGACAUUGUUUUUUGUUGGGGUAAAAAAUAAGUUCUGUCCACUGCCAUUGGGUGAAGGGCUGCAGUAUUUUGACUGUAUGAAGGUAGCAUAAUCAUUAGCUUUUUAAUUAGAAGCUGGUAUGAAGGUGAAACAGGGGUUUGCUGUCUUUUUUCUAUUUGUUGAAUUUUAUCUUCAUGUGAAAAAUCGUGAUUGGGUUAAAGGGACAAGAAGACCCUAAUAAGUUUUAUUUUCUUUUUUAAUGCAUGUAUAGGUGAUAAUUGGUGUAAUUUAUUUUAGGGGGUUUGGCUGGGGCGGCAGUUUAUGUAACAUAGAUUAAUUUUUAACUUUUUAUGGCGAUAUUUUGGACCUAGUUUGUUUAGGUUGGUGUGAAACUACUGUAGGGAUAACAGCGUGAUUUUUUUUGAGAGUUCUAAUUGACAAUAAA
rnacentral:rRNA from 1 species